UCAAAAUUUCAAAUUUGAUGAAUUUCAGGCCAUUUAUCUGAUAUAUUUCAGCAUUGGCCUAUAUACGUGUCAUACAAAUGUCUCUAUAAGUUCACAUCUUUGAGUACAGACUCUUCUAACAUUACUAUUUGAAAACAAUCGGUCCUUGUUGCCACUUUGAAGUACUUAUUUUGUUUUUUUAUUUUCAUAAUUAUAAGGUCGCUAUGUACAACUUUGCACAUAUAUUUAGGUAGAGUUCUUCCAAAAAAAAUUGCAUGGAACAAACCACAUCAUAAUGUUUUUGUACGAGUUACACCGCUGUUUAAAUCAUUUGCCAUCUCAUUUACAUACUGCUGUAUUUAACUCGAAAAUAAACCAUUCCCUUUCCACUAAAAAACACUUUUCGCUCCACUUUCCUAAAUUUUUGCCGCAUCCAAUUAAUUACGCCCUUAUUUUUUCAGCUGCGCGGAACCAACUCCCUCCAAUUUCUAUCCCCAUCUCCACCCCCUCUACCCCACGACUGCAUCCAGCGGCGAGAUUUGAGGAUCACGCCGCCCGGCGCACCCUGCGGCACCAGCCGCGUAAUCCUUCUCCAAUGACGGCUGCUCGCCCGCCCUCCCAUCAAGCCCCGGCCGCCGCGCUCGCUCUCCACAAGGAGCGGCCGCCACGCCUCGCCGGCCAAGAUCGGAUCCGCCAACCCGCGACAUCGAAGUCGCCAGCCUCUACAGGCAACAUCAUAGCCGCUCGCCUCAUCCUCACCAUCGCCCACUCCAGCGCCUUCCCCAGCUUCCUUUCCUACCUCGUGCUUUACCAAGAUCUGGACGUUUCCUCACCACCCCUCCAUCAGCCACUACUUGAGAUUAGAUGCUGAUUUAGAAGUUUGGUUUCGUCCAGUGACCAACAAGAUGGCGGCGGCUGGAGACAACAGGUUUGGAAGAGGCAACCCGAUGAUGCAGUGAGGCUAGGGGAUGGGUGAGAAACUCUGCAAGGAACCCCGCUGCAAUACCAUUAGAUCUGGUCCCCUUCCAACUAUUCGAGGUUCAUCUAGAUAAGGAGUAAGAUCAAUGCCCUUUGCUCUUCUCAAAGAUUGAGGAAGCAUCGUACAACAGCAGUGCGAGUACACAAUUAGCUGUAGCUGCAGAAGAAGAUGUGCACCAGGAGGAUUUAGCCGCGAGACAUGAAGCACAAGAUAGAGAAUUUGAAGAGAUGCAAAGAAGAGCCAACAAGAGAAGAAUAAGCCUGGCAAAAGAAGCAACAUGAGAUGGAUAACCUGAUUGGAUUUCUUUUAAGGGCUCAAGCAACUCAGCAAGCAAAUCAGUCCAACCUGAUGGUGCAUGAAGGCCAUCAUUUUGUGAAAGAAAGAUAGUUAUUUAAUCAUACAUUGCAGUCAUCAGGACAACAUAAGUGGUCUUUUAGUUAUGUAAAUAUUACUUUUCGUCUUAUUUAUUCUCGUGUCAAACUUGAGUCUGUGAUAUUUUUUAUUGUCAUUUUGUAUUUAGAAGAUGAUUUGGCUGACAGAUGGAAUAAAUAAUA